rnacentral:lncRNA from 1 species
GGCUGACCAUAUACUUUCUCCCCUUUUCUCUCUCUCGUAACCUUUGCAUUGAAUUCCUCUUGGCCUCUUAGCUGCUGGAUAUAUAAACAGACUUUGGCAGAGAAAUCGAAAGAGGUGGGAUUGGAUGAGAGAGAGAGAGAAAUUUAAACAAAAAUAGGCAAAUAUCGAUCAAAAUUUGAAUCACAAAGAAAAAAAAUAUCGAAAGCAAAUGGAGGGGUUACAACGUUGUAGAUAUUGGUUUAAUGGAGUUUAUUUCUUUUUCCAUUCUUUGAGGUUAGUACUAUUGAUCCUAUAAAUCUUAUACAUCAAGAUUUUUGGCCGUUAAAUCUUGUUUAAUGGAACUUGAGUAAGAAUUUAACUUGCAAAAUUUUUGGUGUAUAUAUUGCUAGGAUACUGGGGAGCAUAUUAAAAACUCUUACGAAUUUGACAUGUGACGAAAAUUGCUAGUUAUUAGUACGAAAAUUGGUAGUUAUUUGUAAUUUUCCCUUGUUAUGUAAUUUGCCUUUGUCUGUAGUUCUGCGGGCAUAGGUAAGUGGCUGUUGGUCCAACUAAUCCAAUUUGUUGGAGAUAUUUUCAGCUGGUGGUUCAUGUUGGUGUUGCAUCGUGUGGAAAGGACAAUGGAAGCCAUGGUCGCAUGCUUUGCCGCACGGUUGAUGCUCACAGCAUAGCAAUGGAUAUACGCUACAUGUUUGGUGGGCGGAAGAUUCCCCAUGAUUUGCUUAGGAAUUCCUUGUAAUUUGCUUUUGUAUUGACAUUUGAGGAUAGUUCCUUGUUUCGUGCGGGACGCUCUUUUUCCUUCCACCGGUUGAAAGCUCCGGCAAGGUUUUAUUGAGCCCCAAUAGGCAAGCUAUCCUCAGUUUGUUGUCAAUUUGUACUUGUACCCCGCUGUUCGAAUGGAAUAUCUAAUAUCGUAUUUCUCUCAAAAAAAAAAAAAAAAAAAGAUGAUGACUAUUUUCAAGUGAUGAUAAAUUUAUUUAAAAUAUAGCAACAUUAAUGAAAUAACACACAACGUGGUUGAUAAAAUAUAAAAGAAAAAAACACAAUACAUUAAAAAAAAAAAAGACACUAGGGGAUAAGCUAAGCUUGGAGCCUUUGAGCAUGGAAAUCAAACCCCGCAAUAUUCCUUGACAGAGAACCCAUCCCCAAUAUUAAGAUAAUUGGCCAUAUAAAAUUGAACAUAAUCCAACAUAUGCAAUGGCUUAUACUUCACGGGGUGGUCGUCGGUGGUAAGCUCGUCCGGUGCGCGUGUCACCCCUUUCAAGUAUGAAAAUAGUCCAAACGAGUAUCUUUCCUCAUUUUCCUUCAGAUUGACUCUAUGUUUACAAGAUGGUAUUCUGUCAUUGCUCCAAACCUAGGCAAGAAAAAGCAUAGAUUAUAGUUGAUCACUAGAAAUAGAACCCCUUUUAGUCUAUGACAGCCUCAUUUAUAUCCAUGAAACAGAAUGAUUAAUGGAAGCGUAUAGUGGCAUACCUGAAAUCCAUCAGAUGCGAAUAGGAAGGAUGAAGGCAAAGGAUCAAAACCAAUCCAUUUGUUAUCUUUUGUAUAUAUCUCAAGACCUUUGACAUGAUUUUGGUGGAGUAUGGAAGUUAAAGUCUUGUCUGUAUGCACGGAUAGACCCUGUCCAGUUCCCAUUUUCUCUGGUUUCUUAUAUUUCAUAAAGCGGAAAGUGGACACAAUCGAUUGAACGUGAUCGUCAAGGUAUUUUUCUACAUUGUAGUUUUCGAAUACCAUUCUUGUAACCACUUGAUUUAGACCUAGUUUGGGAGUGAGGUGCUUAAAAAAAAAGCACCUAUGAAAAAAAGCUGUGAGGGUUUUAAGUGUUUGGUAAACUGAAAAAAAAUGGCUUAUUUUGGAAGCUGCUGUGAGAAUAAGCUGAAAUCAAAGGAAAAAGCUGAAGCUGCUAUUUGUAGCUUUGGAAAACUGGUUUUUUUUCAAAGCACACGGAACUACAGUGCUCUUUUAAUGAAAAGACCCACUAUCAAACUGCUUUUUUUUCCAAAAGCAUUUUUACAAAAAAGUUUACCAAACGCUCUGCUGAUUUAUUUCACAGCCGCUUAUUCUCACAGCACAGCCGCUUAUUCUCACAGCAGUUUUUUUUCAAAGCACAGCAAUACCAAACCAGCCCUUAGUUCUGCCAUCACUUUUCUAUACGCAUCAGCAGUCUUACUAGACAAAAGAACAAUGUGAAAGGUGAGUCGAUAUAUCCCAAACUCAAUCAUUUAUCAAAUAUAUACUAAACCAUACCGAUAUUGAUCAUUUCCAUUAGGCCAAAAAUGAUGUUCGAAUACGCGCGAUUUUUCACUGUCUGUACCAGUUGCCAAGCUUUCAUGGAAAGGCCCCGUUAAAUGACCAUCAAGUAUAGGUUUUUCCUGCGGAUUUUGCACUUUAGUUUCAAUUGGGAAAUCAAACAGCUCUUUUAAUGUCCCAAACAUGCUAUCGUGAAGCUCAGGUGAAACUUUGUUGGGCAGGACUGCCAUGAAACAGCCAAACUCUUCGAGUGCGCGGCAAACAUUCCCACGUACUGAGAGCCAAGAACUUGUCCCUGGCUUCAAGCAAUCCUCUUGGGAGAAAUCUACUACUGGAAUUUUGGGUACCGUUUGGGUAACACUUGUGACAUUCAUCUUUGUCUUUUCACAAGUUAAGAGGUUUUGAGGACUCUAUGGAUAUUGAACUAGAAGCUGUAAGUUCUCAACCGAUUAAACUGAUAUUUAUAGAGUAGUUAAUUAUAAAUGGAAUAUCAGCUUUAGUAAUUUUUCUUUUGGCAUAAAUCAAUUAAACCCAUUACAAUCCCACAAGGAUCCACAUCGUAUUUGUUAUUUAGUUGUUUGGAUCUUUAUUCCCGUGCAUGAAUAUGUAGUUGUUAGAUUUUGUUAUCCAUCACUUACUGCAUACAUUAAUAUCAUUUUAUAAUAUAUAUAUAUAUAUAUAGACACACACUACUUUAUUUUAAAUAAAAUAAAGGUCGCUACCCAACCUUUAUUUUAUUUAAAAUUCUAAUGUAUUCAAAUCUCUUUUAAAACUUAAAUUCUAGUUUGCAUUGUAUGUAGAAAUUUACGGCUCGUUUGGAAGUAUUUUUAAAAUGACUGAAAACGUUUCUGAUGAGAGUAUUUUUAGAAUCAAUCAUUAGUAAAAAUGCAAGUGAAUCUUGAAAAAGCACUUGAAGUGCUUCUUGCAAGACCAAAAAAACUUCCACCAAGAGCGCCUUCGGUAAUUUAAUAGUACUUUGAGACAAGUCUUUAUAAUUUACAAAAUUUGAUAUGUUUGGAGAAUAUUCAACAAAAAAAAAAAAUGUGUCCAGAAAUAAUAUAUGGGAACUUUAACAAAAAGCUCCCGGUACUGUUCACUUUAACGAAAAACCAUAUUUUUACACUAAAAAGUCAAUCUUGGUACUAUUCACUUUACCCUUUAUUUUGUCCUUAUCAUUAAAACUCAAAGUUUUCAAGCCCUUUUCAUUAGUUUUCCUAUAAUAUAUCAAAGACACACCAAUUUUUUAAUUUUUUAAUUUUAUGUAUAUAUCAAACUAUAAUUACAAAAAUGUAGAAACUCCUAUACUACAAGAAGUUUGCCAAAUAUUUUUCUUUUUGUAAGUUGGUUGUAACCACCAUGGACCAACUUCUUUUUGUAUGUAAUUAUUUCUCACAACCCUAGCUAAUCAAUCACCACAGUCCAGUGGCAAUCGGGUAAUACCCCAGCGAAAUAUGGGCAUUCUCGAACAUCCGCAAUAAUUAAUUAAAACAUUCAAUGACAAAUCAGCAGCCGCAGGCUGACCAUAUACUUUCUUCCCUUUUCUUUCUCUCGUAACCUUUGCAUUGAAUUCCUCUUGGCCUCUUAGCUGCUGGAUAUAUAUAUAAACAGACUUUGGAAGAGAAAUCGAAAGAGGUGGGAUCGGAUGAGAGAGAGAGAAAAGAGAGAAAUUUAAACAAAAAUAGGCAAAUAUCGAUCAAAAUUUGAAUCACAAAGAAAAAAAAU